UUGCUUUCUCCUGUUGUGGGAAGUCCUUCCCAUUGUUCAGUCAGUGUCUCUUGCUGUAAGCACUCUGACCCUUGGCUUGAUGGUGGCUGAGCUGAGAGAACAUGUCAUCCCAGCAUCCUUGGAGGGAAGGACAGAGAGGACCACAGAACUGCAUAGGCACCUGGAAUUCACCCCUUGUUCUCUGGUGCAGCUGUGGCAUCUGAGGGCUGCGGAGUCCGCCCUUGCACUCUGAAGACAGGACUGGAAAGCAGUGGCAGCAGGAGCCGCAGAAGACCCCUGUGGGUCCCAGAACCUGCUUUAUUGGCUGCCUUGCCUUCCCCGCCUACCCCACCCCUGGGAAGCCUUCCAGGACUGACA